CUCCUGUGUUAGCCUCCUCUCACGCCUCAAGCCGUGUAUCACCCACAGGCAGGGACUUCCCACAUGGGCCUUGGAAAGAACUGCAGCAGCUGGAGAGGAUGACAGCAACUGUACUCGGCUGCCCCUCUCCUGUUCACCCAAACCAAGAGGCAGAGCGGUGUUUUCUUUUCCAUGUUUGAUUGGGAGGCGGCCAUGAUAUGGAGAAGGGGUACAGCACUUCAGAAAGAUGAGCUCGCUUUUUUAAAAAUUAAGCAGAAAACAGUUUCAUGAGGACAUCACAUCGCAGGAAACGCUGGGCCUGGGCACACGGGUCACGGCAGCUGCAGGAGCAUGAGCGUGUGCAAGGCAAGAGGAAAAGCAAAAGCUUCCUGUGCCAUCGCACGACUGGGCUCAGAAAGUGGCAAGAGCGUUGGGAUAAGUGUGCUCCAGACAAGGUCUGUGGGCCAAUAAGUAUCCACUGAUGUAAGAAUUCCUGCAACUAAGAUCCAGAAGUUCUGCAACAGAGUUGGGAAACCAAUUGAGAAUCCAUCAUGUGGGCUAAGCCUCUGGCUUCAGGACAAGACACUACCACAAUGUGAUGUUUCCAGGAGAGGCAAACAAAAUAAAUCUUACUCACUAAGCUACAUGCAUAAGAGUUCCUUAAUCCACCCAACGGUCACCUUGGAAAAUGACAAGCAGAUAGCAAAGAAAUAGACCAGAAA
rnacentral:lncRNA from 1 species